UGUUUAUUUAAUGCUUUUUUGUUUCAGGUGAGAAAUGCUUCGAAGUUGCUGCACAACGAGCGCGCGCUCUUGGCGCGUUGGUUUUCCGGCGAUGCUCAAUCCUGUCUCAAUAGCAACCGCGAUGUGUGGAAAACUCGAAUCCCUGAGUCUUCAACAAGAAGCAGUGUCUUUGAACCGGCCGCCGGCUUUACUAAGAGAAACAUCUCCGUUGCUAGCAUUAAAAGGGGUUCCAUUAUCGGGUCUGGGUUCACUGGAGUGAUUUCGCAAAGUUCACAGGUGUUGUCAAGGAGAUGCUAUGCGUCAGCCUCAGAUCUACCCCCCCACCAGGAAAUUGGAAUGCCUUCUCUCUCACCUACAAUGACAGAGGUUUCUACUUGUCUGAAUCAAAUUA